GACGAACGCUGGCGGCGUGCCUAAUACAUGCAAGUAGAACGCUGAAACUUGGUGCUUGCACCGAGCGGAUGAGUUGCGAACGGGUGAGUAACGCGUAGGUAACCUGCCUGGUAGCGGGGGAUAACUAUUGGAAACGAUAGCUAAUACCGCAUAAGAGUAGAUGUUGCAUGACAUUUGCUUAAAAGGUGCAAUUGCACCACUACCAGAUGGACCUGCGUUGUAUUAGCUAGUUGGUGGGGUAACGGCUCACCAAGGCGACGAUACAUAGCCGACCUGAGAGGGUGAUCGGCCACACUGGGACUGAGACACGGCCCAGACUCCUACGGGAGGCAGCAGUAGGGAAUCUUCGGCAAUGGACGGAAGUCUGACCGAGCAACGCCGCGUGAGUGAAGAAGGUUUUCGGAUCGUAAAGCUCUGUUGUAAGAGAAGAACGAGUGUGAGAGUGAAAAGUUCACACUGUGACGGUAUCUUACCAGAAAGGGACGGCUAACUACGUG
rnacentral:rRNA from 1 species